rnacentral:rRNA from 1 species
AUUGAACGCUGGCGGCAGGCCUAACACAUGCAAGUCGAGGGGAUGAAGGGAGCUUGCUCCUGGAUUCAGCGGCGGACGGGUGAGUAAUGCCUAGGAAUCUGCCUGGUAGUGGGGGAUAACGUCCGGAAACGGGCGCUAAUACCGCAUACGUCCUGAGGGAGAAAGUGGGGGAUCUUCGGACCUCACGCUAUCAGAUGAGCCUAGGUCGGAUUAGCUAGUUGGUGGGGUAAAGGCCUACCAAGGCGACGAUCCGUAACUGGUCUGAGAGGAUGAUCAGUCACACUGGAACUGAGACACGGUCCAGACUCCUACGGGAGGCAGCAGUGGGGAAUAUUGGACAAUGGGCGAAAGCCUGAUCCAGCCAUGCCGCGUGUGUGAAGAAGGUCUUCGGAUUGUAAAGCACUUUAAGUUGGGAGGAAGGGCAGUAAGUUAAUACCUUGCUGUUUUGACGUUACCAACAGAAUAAGCACCGGCUAACUUCGUG